rnacentral:lncRNA from 1 species
GUGACCCCUGUCCCCACAGGUGGACUUCUGCUUGACAGAGGCAAACACACUUCUCCUUGUGUGCUGAGGAACUUUUCUCCAGAUGGCAGCACUUGUUUAUUCACCCAGCUGUGAGUGUUUGUGAUUCCCAACAUGCUCACUGGAAUCUUAGUUUAUUUUAUUUUGCAAUAUCAUUUUACUGUUCCACACUCUCAAUGACUUCAUGCUUCAUUCAGAAGUAAAUCCACAGUUGUCAAAGCACCACGUGAACCCACAGUAUCUGCCUCCCUCCCUCCCUCUGCCAACUCUCUGACCACGUCUCCUAUGCUCUGAACUAACUCCUUUCCUCCCUCUCUACCCACCGUCUCUCUCCCCGCUCAAGUCAGAAGAUGAUGAUGGGCCAUGUGUGAGAUUGGAUGGGACUAGGGUAAUGGGCUGUAUCAAGGGGGCAGGCUAGAAUCUUGGAUCCGCACAGCCACCUCUGCUUAUACCUACCUACACUCCUUCUCAAGGACAAUAUUUUAAACAUAAAUAUAAACAUAAGAGAAUGGAUACAACCUCACUAGUCACUGCUAAAAUGUUUUGAGCGUCUUCAUGUAAGAGAAAAUUUCAAUAUUGAUCAUUGUCUCUUAUAGUAGUGAGCUUUGACACUAUUUUCUUAUGUGUACUGUGUAUUUCAUUGUUUUUUAAACCCAGAGUUUAUAGAUUUUGAUAUUUUGUCAACAUUAUGAACUGCUACAUUUUAAAGUGAUUUCUGAAAAUAUAUGAGAGAAAAAGAAAUGUUGAUAUGCUAUUUGCACAUAUGAUAACAUUUGUAUUUAACAAGCUUUAAUUCAACAAUGUGUAAGAACAUCAGAAUAAUAUAAUGCCUUCUUGGUAGAUAAACAUAGCAACUAAAAAAUACAAAUUAUUUCAUAUUUUUGAAUUAAAUUAUUGUAUUUAAAUGUUUUACACUUUUGCUUAUUUCUCAUAUUGCUAGAAAAAUAUGUUAUCCAAUAUCUUUAUGGGCCAUAAGCUUUCUAUUGUUCCACAUUAAAAAUAAAAUGAUUCUAGUGGUUCAACCUUA